rnacentral:rRNA from 1 species
UACGGAGGGUGCAAGCGUUAUCCGGAUUCACUGGGUUUAAAGGGUGCGUAGGCGGGCUUGUAAGUCCGUGGUGAAAUCUCUGGGCUUAACCCGGAAACUGCCAUGGAUACUAUAGGUCUUGAAUACCCGGGAGGUGAGCGGAAUAUGUCAUGUAGCGGUGAAAUGCUUAGAUAUGACAUAGAACACCAAUUGCGAAGGCAGCUCACUACAGGGUCAUUGACGCUGAGGCACGAAAGCGUGGGGAUCAAACAGG